UAUAUACAAUAAUUUCGUACAGUGUAAAAUAUUUAAUGUCCCCAUCGUCUAUGUACACAUUUCUAGAGGAACCUAUUCUAUUUAUGUUUAUGUACAUACAUUAGCCAAAUAUAUUAUGCAUUUUUAAAAUGCAAAUAGUGUGAUAUAAAAUAUAAACACAGAAUGAAGAAUGCUUUAAACCCAGCUCAAGUGUGUCCGAUAUACAGCUUCAUAUUUACAAAGAGUUACUAAGUCAUGACUUUUACAUAUUGAUAUAUUGACCUAAGGAUAGACUGUACAUUGUGUUGAUUUGUAUGAUCCGCAAUAUUGAAUUGUAAUUUCCGAUGAUUUUUUGACAAGAAAUUGAACUCAAUAAAAACCACCAGUCUAUGGUACAAAGUAAACAUAAAU